rnacentral:lncRNA from 1 species
UUCCAUUGGUUUAAAUAUCAGGUUCAUUGGAUCUAUAUAACUCCAGAUAUGACAAAAACAAUAAGUGCUGCUUCACAGGUAAAGCUGUAUCCGGCAGGUAACAAGCUGGACUUUUCACGGUAAUUUUGGCUACUUUGUGAUACGAAUUUGACUUCUUCCAAAACAUGAAAGUUGUAGAAACGUGCCUUGUCUUUCCAACCCAACUUGAAUCACCUCGAUCCAAUGUCUGAAGCUCAAAUUAUGAUCAUUUUACAGAUAGCUGCUUCUUGCUUGAGGCAGUCACUAUUUUUGACUUUUCAACAUUAUUUUCCUCCACUUGCUCCACUUGUUCUAAUUUGGAAAUACAAGUGAAAUACAUCAAAUAGAUACUCUUUCAAAUGUAUAAUACUCAUGCCACCAUGUAUGUAAAUACGUAUUUCAAUUAAUUGCAUUUUUAACCAUGUAUUUAUGGAAUGCAUAAUCAAUUCAAUCACAUACUUUUUUAAAUUGGACUCAUCCCGACCCUCAAUGGUCAAUUAUUUCGCUCUUCGCUCGUUGGAUGCACACCCUCAAACUUGAUUUUCUAACUAUUUUCCCAAGGUGUGAUUUAUACUAUUACUCACCCUCUCUAGUUUGGUUAGAUUUUACUAAUUGUAGCUCAACACAUCAAUAAAUGAGGAUUCUCCUUAAUUUUGACUGACUUAACCUCCAAGAAUCAACUAAGUUACUAAUCCCUUAUCAAAGGUCUAAUUCUCUAAAAUAAGUGUUUGGGACUUAAUCAAGGCAUGUAGUGCGUCUUCUGUUUCAUGAACCUGCUUUUUUUCAAGUUUGCCGUGUGUAUUCUGUUUCAUGCACUAGCCUAUCUCUUUUUAUGUUUAUAAUUGUCCUCAUUGGGCUCUUUUAGGGUAGCUUCACAACAUGGCAGCUUUUUCCCUUCUAUGCAAUGAUUAGUGCAAUGCCCCUCAUUAAACACUUAUUCUCGAAAAUCGAUCUUUAACUUAAGAUUUUUACCUAAUUAUCAUCUCAUUGGUCUUAAGCAAUCCACACAAAAUUUAACACACAUGGAAUCCACAUCUAUCUCAAUGUUUCCCCACAAUAGCUCAACCACCCCAAACUAUCAUAUAAUUGGUUUAGUGGAUUUUUUUUUUUUUUGGGUCAUACUUAAUUCUACAUAUUCUAUCCAUUGAUCCAAUCUAAAUAAUAUGUGAUUUUCAUGAAUAUUGUGCUCAAUGUAGAUCAAUCUAACAUGAACAAGCUUAAACUAAAUCAAAGUAGCAUCCCCUAGUCAUAAUAAUAUAAAAACAAUUUCAAAUAUUAUCAUCGGUCAGUAAGAAAUUUUUUUUUUUUUUUGAACAUUUUGAUUCCUUUCCCCCAACCUAAAUGAAACAUUGUCCUCAAUGUAAAGAUUAAAUGUGCAAAAUAUAUGAAGGACAAUAAGGAGCAAAAUUUUGAACAAAGGGACGAAUUUAGAGCUUUACCUGGAAAGUCUGCAUAAACUUAGCCUAAAUGAUCCUUCAAUUUCAAUAGUGAAAGAAAAAAAAAAAAGAAAAAAAAGAAACAACAAUAAAAGAAACACACCUAAAAAAAACACACAACAUUAUAAAACUGAAAAUAAACAUACAAAAUAAAAUAAAAAGAAAAGGAUAUCAAUCUUUAGAAUCAUGUAUAGCAACAGACUCUUCCAAUUUAGAGAAAUUCUCAAAAAAUGGUUUCAAAUCGAGAUUUGGUUCUUGAACACUUGAAAUCACUUGCGAAUUUUUAGAAUUAUCAUUGAAUUCAAAUUCAAGCGCAUCAUAUGAAGAUGUAGCGAUAAAUUGAUCAUCAACAAGUUGUUCAAUAAGAUCUACUUCAUGCAAAUCAUCUUCAUCUCCAUGUUGCUUGCAAAUGUUAAAAAUAUUCAUUUCCACGGUCAUAUUUCCAAAAGAGAGUUUUAAAAUACCAUUUCUACAAUUUAUCAACGCAUUUGAAGUAGCAAGAAAGGGACGUCCUAGAAUGACAGGUAUUUGUGCAUUCGAAUUUAAAACAGGAUGUGUGUCCAAAACUAUAAAAUCAACAGGAAAAUAGAAUUUAUCAAUUUGAACUAGAACAUCCUCUACAACCCCUCUUGGAACUUUUACUGAACGAUCAGCAAGUUGAAGUGUUGUUGUUGUUGGCUUAAGCUCUCCCAAACCAAGUUGCUCAUACACAGAAAAAGGUAAUAGAUUAACACUAGAACCAAGAUCAAGCAAAGCACGCUCUAUCCUGUUAUUCCCAAUCACACAAGAAAUUGUUGGACAACUAGGAUCUUUGAAUUUAGGUGGAGUGUUUUGUUGAACGAUCGAGCUCACAUUCUCUGUUAAAAAUACUUUUUGUUGAACAUUAAGUUUCCUCUUAACAGUGCACAAGUCUUUUAAAAAUUUUGCAUAUGAAGGUACUUGUUUGAUUGCAUCCAAUAAUGGUAUGUUAAUUUUGACUUGUUUAAAAAGUUCAAAAAUUUCAGAAUUGUGGUUGAGUUUUGAAAUUGGUAGCAAUUGUUGAGGAAAUGGAGCUGGAAUGGGACAUUUUUCAACAAUAGGUUCAGAAAUGAUCUUUUCCUCACUUUUGGAAACAUCAUUUUCUUGCUUUGAAGUACCACCAGAUUUUAGUUCUUUUGAAGGGAUGGUUUUGUCAAUAAUUUUUCCACUACGAAGAGUCGUGAUGGAGUUGGCAUUUUGUUGUUGACUUUCAGAAGAACUAGAAGCAUUUACAUUAUAUUGCUGAGAAGGAUUUGGUUGAGGUUGAGCAGGAAAUUUGCCUUUCUCUUGAGAAUG